rnacentral:lncRNA from 1 species
UCUCAUAAAAUUUAGGAUUCCCACGCAAGCUCAGACUGUGUAGAACGAGGUUGCUUUGCAUGCUGUGACCGCAUGCCCUUCAAGCGCAUCCUUUUUAGGAAUUUAAGGAUUGGCUCAUUACUUUGCCUUCUUUUUAUUCCAUACAGGUGAUGGGAGGAGGAAGCAUGGGAACAAUGCCCCAUAGGGGCCACCCACGCCUAAGGGCAAGCAUGGCUCGCUGGCCUUAAGGCAAAGUGUUGUCCUGUACCACGUAG